CCAGGAUCAACGUUGCAACUGACCAAUCACAUUGGCUGAGCAGUUAGCAUUAGCAAAGAAGUUAACUGUUAAAAACUUUCUAACAUGACUAAUAUCAAUUUGGCUAACAGCAAAUCUAACUUGAGGAAAUAUUUAUUAUACUCCCUUAAUGACUUUGUAUACAAGGUCACCAUUCAAAUGCAUUUUGAGUGUAGUAUCAGUGCAGUCAGGGUUUAUUUAGUGGAAAACACAGAGUUCCCAGUUAACUCAAAAUCCUGGCAGCUAUCUAAUUAGUUAAUGCUACAGUUGUACAUGCAGAAAUCAUAUCCUUUCUGUGCCGCUUCCUUUGCAAGCAAGUCAGCUCUGUCAUACUUUUUCAAAUGUCCGGUACCUGCUGCGGAAAUAUCUCAAGAGUUAGUAUGCGAUUUCUGUGAAAGGUUUUUUAAAAAUGUUUUUAAAUGCAGUGAACCACCAAAGGCAUGACGGUUAUGUUUCAUGUAAAAGCUUUAUGAAGUCAUUUGAAUUCAAGCAGGCAGUUGUGAACACACUUCGUCCCUAUUCUUGGAUGUUUUUGUCACGGCUUUGUUAUGACUUCACACAGCAGCAGCUACCAGACCCGUCCUUUGACAUCUUCAUUCCCAGAGCUUCCAUUGGCUCUGCGGCCAACAGCGGGAGCAGCACACCGUCAACAUAAAAGGAGACCGGGAACACAGCACGCACACACAAGUGUAGGUCGAAAGCAGCUGACUCGCCUCCUUCGUCACUCUGCAGUUCUCCUCUUUAUCACCUGCUUGACUCCAGAUGCUUUUCUCUUCGUGGCCUCUGCUCAUUUCCGACCUCUCAGGUCCUGCUGUAUCCAUAGCAACUUCUUCUACAGGUUGACUAUGAAUCACUUCUUUGUCUGGAUUUUUUUUUCUUAUCUUGCGCCGUUCACUCUCUAUAGGCCUUGUGUCUGCCUCUUCUGUGCAUAUGCUCCUGGACUGAGCGCACUCUGUACUUCUUGUGUCAUUCCUCUGGGAAAUAAUCAAAGAAAAAGAUGUUGAUGAAAAAGGGGCAUGGUCUGCAGAGGACAUCCCAGUGGUGAACGUGCCUCAGCUCGCCAGACCCCAUCAGAGUAACUUCGGUUCACAUUUUCUCGGUUAUACUUGCUGACCUUUUGUUUUCUAUUGUUUGUGGUUCCCUAAGCUGGUCCUAAGAGGAACCUUCAUCCCCAGUACAUGGAGAUGAAUGGGAGGUCAUCCCACUGAGGAACAGAUAAACCUCCCAUUGACUGAUUUAUUAUGUUCCCCUGGGUAUCAGACAGUCAAGAGCUUCAUUUGAAAGUCAAAGCACGGAAUGAAGCUGCGGCUUUGCUGCAGAACAAAAACUUGUGCAGUGCUCGGCUUUUUCUGACAGGGAAGCGCGAGCUCAAACACACAGAUGAAAGUCACGUAACUGAUGCCACAAAAACUGGGAAAUGUUUCAAGUGUCUUUGACUCAACAUUAUUUUCAAUUUACGCAUUAAAGUUAGAUUGCAUUCACUUAGAUUAGAAGGAUAUUUUGCACAGUUAAAUGUAAUUAUUGAAGUCAUGUUUUUGAGCCCGGGUUGUGAUUAUUGUUGAUAACCACAAAGUUAACACAUGAAAUGAAGUUUUUGAAUUAAUUUAAAUGUACAAUGCUCUCAGUGAGUCAUGAUGCACGAAUGUACUGGAUAAAUGUAUAUAUGUAAUACUGUCUAAAGCACUGCUGUGCCAUUUAAUUAUGUUCAAUACAUGUUACACUGGAGAGACCUGCCUGUGGUUAGCCUGUUUUGCUAGCUUAUUAUUAAUCAGUAUAUUUCCUCAUAGAAGACUUUUUUUCAUAUCUGAAAAAUCAACUUUUCUGUCAGUAUUUCUUUGGAUAAAAUUAAAAAAAAAAUCUAAUUCAUUUGAGCAAAAACUGAAAAAAAAAAAAAUUUUUUUUUUUAAUUCUUGAAGGAAGUUUAUCAUAGAGUUGAAUGUUGUAAAUGUAACUAUAAGAACUGCUAUUGUAUGAGCAAAAUUGGUACUGCCAGCAGAGAGGGGACGUUAUUUAACUAUGUGGGUGUUAAUGACCAGAAUCUGCCAUUAUAUCUUUUACAAUUUAGCUUUCAGUUACCUUUACUAAUAGUCUUAUGCAUUCUUUGUUGUACAGUAGUCGUCCUAUAAAAUGUCAUAUACCAUAAAGUGAACUCUACUCCACUGAAA
ensembl:lncRNA